rnacentral:rRNA from 1 species
UAAGGCGGGCUGCGAAGGAAUUGGUGGGGGAUCACAGGGAAUUGUCAGGCAGAUGUAAGUAAUUGGUGAAGAAAGGGCCGGAGCAAGACCGGUGUUCAGCCGCCGUUUUUAAUACCGGCGGCUCGAGUGGUGGCCGCUAUUACUGGGCUUAAAGGGUCCGUAGCUGGAUAUACAAGUCCCUUGAGAAAUCCGCCGGCUUAACCGGUGGGCGUUCAGGGGAAACUGUAUUUCUAGGGACCGGGAGAGGUGAGAGGUACUGCCGGGGUAGGAGUGAAAUCCUGUAAUCCCGGUGGGACCACCUAUGGCGAAGGCAUCUCACCAGAACGGGUCCGACAGUGAGGGACGAAAGCUGGGGGAGCAAACCGGAUUAGAUACCCGGGUAGUCCCAGCUGUAAACGAUGCGCGUUAGGUGUGUCAGUGACCACGUGUCACUGAGGUGCCGAAGGGAAACCGUGAAACGCGCCGCCUGGGGAGUACGGUCGCAAGGCUGAAACUUAAAGGAAUGGCG